CCCUUAGAUGUUCUGGGCCGCACGCGCGCUACACUGAUGCAUUCAACGAGUAAUCUUUGACCUUGGUCGACAGAUCUGGGUAAUCUUUUGAAAUUGCAUCGUGAUGGGGCUUGCGGGUUGCAAUUACCCGCACCAACGAGGAAUUCCUAGUAAACGCAAGUCAUCAACUUGCAUUGAUUACGUCCCUGCCCUUUGUACACACCGCCCGUCGCUCCUACCGAUUGAGCGGUCCGGUGAAGCCUCGGGAUUGUGGUUCUUGCCGCUUUAUUGUGGCGUGACCGCGAGAACUUGUCUAAACCUUAUCAUCUAGAGGAAGGUGAAGUCGUAACA
rnacentral:rRNA from 1 species